rnacentral:misc_RNA from 1 species
UUGAUUCAAUUUUCUGAUUCAGACGUCGGACGGAUUCAGGCGUGGAUGCGGCGCCGGAGCGCCGAAGCACAUUUUGCUUCCACAGGUUUGAAGGUUGAAGGCCUCAUUGGCCAUUCAGUAAUGAUCCCUCCGCAGGUUCACCUACGGAGA